rnacentral:rRNA from 1 species
AACGAACGCUGGCGGCAUGCUUAACACAUGCAAGUCGAGCGAGAAAGCCCGCAAGGGUGAGUACAGCGGCGCACGGGUGCGUAACACGUGGGUAAUCUGCCCUGAAGCCCGGAAUAACCUCCCGAAAGGGAAGCUAAUACCGGAUAAGACCACGGGAGCCUCGGCUCCUGCGGGAAAAGGUGGCCUCUGCAUGCAAGCUAUCAUUUCAGGAUGAGCCCGCGGCCCAUCAGCUCGUUGGCGGGGUAAUGGCCCACCAAGGCUACGACGGGUAGCUGGUCUGAGAGGACGAUCAGCCACACUGGAACUGAGACACGGUCCAGACUCCUACGGGAGGCAGCAGUGGGGAAUCUUGCGCAAUGGGCGAAAGCCUGACGCAGCAACGCCGCGUGUGUGAUGAAGGUCUUCGGAUCGUAAAGCACUGUCGGGAGGGACGAAUAGGGGCCGGGUGAACAAUCCGGUCCGAUGACGGUACCUCCAAAGGAAGCACCGGCUAACUCUGUGCCAGCAGCCGCGGUAAAAC